UACGUAGGUGGCGAGCGUUGUCCGGAAUCACUGGGCGUAAAGGGCGCGUAGGCGGCAAUACAAGUCGCAUGUGAAAGACCAGGGCUCAACUCUGGGGUGUCAUGCGAAACUGUAUAGCUUGAGUGCAGUAGAGGAAAGCGGAAUUCCUGGUGUAGCGGUAAAAUGCGUAGAGAUCAGGAGGAACACCGGUGGCGAAGGCGGCUUUCUGGGCUGCAACUGACGCUGAGGCGCGAAAGCGUGGGGAGCAAACAGG
rnacentral:rRNA from 1 species